CCUACGCGCGGCAGCAGUGAGGAAUAUUGGUCAAUGGGCGGAAGCCUGAACCAGCCAAGUAGCGUGCAGGAUGACUGCCCUACGGGUUGUAAACUGCUUUUAUACGGGAAUAACGCGCCUUACGUGUAGGUCUUUGCAUGUACCGUAUGAAUAAGGACCGGCUAAUUCCGUGCCAGCAGCCGCGGUAAUACGGAGGGUCCGGGCGUUAUCCGGAUUUAUUGGGUUUAAAGGGAGCGUCGGUCGCAUGUCAAGCGUGCUGUGAAAUGUCCGGGCUCAACCCGGGCCUUGCAGCGCGUACUGGCGUGCUUGAGUCCGCGGAAGGCAGGCGGAAUUCGUGGUGUAGCGGUGAAAUGCUUAGAUAUGACGAAGAACCCCGAUUGCGAAGGCAGCUUGCUGCAGCGGAACUGACGCUGAUGCUCGAAAGCGCGGGUAUCGAACAGGAUUAGAUACCCCUGUAGUC
rnacentral:rRNA from 1 species